UCCAUCCUCCCUCCACUGUAGGGACUAGACACACCUCUGUCCCCUCUGCCCUCCAUCCUCCCUCCACUGUAGGGACUAGACACACCUCUGUCCCCUCUGCCCUCCAUCCUCCCUCCACCGUAGGGACUAGACACACCUCUGUCCCCUCUGCCCUCCAUCCUCCCUCCACUGUAGGGACUAGACACACCUCUGUCCCCUCUGCCCUCCAUCCUCCCUCCACCGUAGGGACUAGACACACCUCUGUCCCCUCUGCCCUCCAUCCUCCCUCCACUGUAGGGACUAGACACACCUCUGUCCCCUCUGCCCUCCAUCCUCCCUCCACCGUAGGGACUAGACACACCUCUGUUCCCUCUGCCCUCCAUCCCCCUCCCUCCACUGUAGGGACUAGACACACCUCUGUCCCCUCUGCCCUCCAUCCUCCCCUCCAGGGACUAGACACACCUCUGUCCCCUCUGCCCUCCAUCCUCCCUCCACCGUAGGGACUAGACACACCUCUGUCCCCUCUGCCCUCCAUCCUCCCUCCACCGUAGGGACUAGACACACCUCUGUCCCCUCUGCCCUCCAUCCUCCCUCCACCAUAGGGACUAGACACCUCUGUCCCCCUCCCCCCUACACAGGGCAGCUGUACUGAAGCCACACUGGACUGAACAGAACUGAACUCAGCCAAAGCCCAGAGUUUGUUGGCAGAAGUUUUUCUCUUGAAACCUGGUCAGCUUUAGAUUAAUCAUCACUACUAACAUUGAUAACAGGGUCAUAUGGAGGUUAGGGGUCAUAUGGAGGUUAGGGGUCAUAUGGAGGUUAGCGGUCAUAUGGGGGUUAGGGGUCAUAUGGAGGUUUAGGGGUCAUAUGGAGGUUAGGGGGUCAUAUGGAGGUUUGGGGGUCAUAUGGAGGUUUGGGGGUCAUAUGGAGGUUUAGGGGUCAUAUGGAGGUUUGGGGGUCAUAUGGAGGUUAGGGAUCAUAUGGAGGUUAGGGGACGUAUGGAGGUUAGCGGUCAUAUGGGAGGCUCCCAUGCAGGGUAGCCAGGGUUAUUAUGGAUGAGCGUAUAGUACAGGGCUGCGCUGCGGGGUUUUGCACCCACCCAGCACUAAAACACCUGCUGUGCUGAUUCACCUAAUUCAUGAAGAAUAGUUUUAUUUGUUGUUUUGUUAGUGGUGGGCUGGAACAAAACCCUGCACACAUACAGCACACUGAUGGCCCUGUGUAAGACGUGAUGUUAUCACCAACCACCAGUGGAUGCUAGACAGAACAGUGUGACAGUUAAACAGUAAGGUGGUGUCGCCUCCAGAGGUCAGCUCCAUUUAGAUUCCAGCCAGUUCAGAAACUGAAGCGUGUUCCAAAUCCACAUUAUCCUCAUUGAAAAGCAUUGAGGAGAAUUGGAAUUUCGCUAUACUUCCUGAAUUGACAGGAAUUCAAAUUCAACUGACCCCAACCCCGAUACCCUCAUAUUCUGUUUUUACUUACUUUUUAUAUUGUUUUAUUACCAGCUGAUGGGGAGGAGCUAAUUAUGACCUAAUUUAUGUUACAUGUAUUAAUCUUAUAAAAAAUAAUCUCAGUCAGGAAGUAUAUCUUGAAUCAUCCUCCCCCAGUUUCUGCUCAUGCUAAAGCACACUGUUUUUAGUUUAGGGAUAGUGUGUCAAGCGUCUGAGUAUGAGAGCUGAUCCAGGAUCAGGUCCCAACCUGUCCACACAAUCUUAUUAAUUGUCUUCUAAAAGGCAAAACUGAUCCUAGAUCAGCACUUCUACCCUGAGACGAAUGAGACAUUGGAGCCCAGCUAUCUUAACGGCUUAAUAAUGAUGAGCGAGGACCGACACACCAAAUAACAUUAUGAUGAAGUCUCAGUUGCUCCCUAACGUUGUAAAAAUGUUUUUGUAAAAACAAUGUAUUUUCUUUUCCUAUUGUAUUGUUCAGUGAACAGGGUUUGUCACUGUUUUUCUCUUAUUGGUCGUUUAAUAAAUCAUUUUUAAACUCUUUGUCUG
ensembl:lncRNA